rnacentral:rRNA from 1 species
UACGUAGGCAGCAAGCGUUGUUCGGAGUUACUGGGCGUAAAGGGUGUGUAGGCGGUUCCUUAAGUUUGUUGUGAAAUCUCCCGGCUUAACCGGGAGGGUGCGGUGAAUACUGAGGGACUAGAGUACGGGAGAGGAAAGUGGAAUUCCCAGUGUAGCGGUGAAAUGCGUAGAUAUUGGGAGGAACACCAGUGGCGAAGGCGGCUCACUGGACCGGAACUGACGCUGAGGCGCGAAAGCGUGGGGAGCAAACAGG